GAGACCUCAGGUCAGGCGGGGCUACCUGCUGAGUUUAAGCAUAUCAAUAAGCGGAGGAAAAG
rnacentral:rRNA from 2 species